UAUCUACUGUACUGUCGUUGACAUAUCCGUGUGUUCAAUUUCAUCCGUUUUUUUGUUAAAAAUUUAACAUAGCGGUUCAUAAUUAACUACCAAAUACAAGAUGUGGCAGCCCGAUCCUUUCCACAAUGAGUUGGUCUCUAUUAUGGAUGAAUUAAUCAUGUCGUUGGAGGAGGAAAUUUGCAAAUGUAUAGCGUUGUCGGUCUCCUCAAAACAAUACAGCACAGACAUUGAUGCAGGAGAGACAGGGGAAAUUGAAAGAGAAUCCAAGUUGCUAAAAGUUGAGUUGACAUGUGUGAUGAAAAAGUUCGUGAAACAGACUCUCGCCAAAAUCAACCAGUUGAUCUCUAAAGGCACUGAAGCACUGCGUUCAGAGAUAUGCCAGAGUCAAAGUGAGAUUAAAUCUCUGAAAAUGAAGCUUUUGGUGAUGACUGUUGGUAAGGAAGUACCUGAAAAUACAAUGGAAAGAACCCCACAGACGGAGGAAGAGGAGGAAUGUACGGAAGCACCAUUACCACCAGAGUUUGAAGAGGAUUUUCAGGUUGACGUGCCAACUCCCAGUUGUGAGGCUGACAACACUACAAAUGUCAAGAAGGAGACCACGAUCAGAGCUAAAACCAUAGCGUUGGAACAGUCAUUUACAUCUCCAGCUAAAAUACCUUCCUCCUCACUCAUUGAGUCUAUCAAACAGGUGGCUUUUACAGACAAACAGGCAGCAAGCAGGCCUACAGACAAACAGGCAGCAAGCAGGCCUACAGACAAACAGUCAGCGAGCAGGCCUACAGACAAACAGUCAGCGAGCAGGCCUACAGACAAACAGUCAGCGAGCAGGCCUACAGACAAACAGUCAGUGAGCAGGCCUACAGACAAACAGUCAGCGAGCAGGCCUACAGACAAACAGUCAGUGAGCAGGCCUACAGACGAUCAGGCCCCAAGUACAGACCCCCAAACUCCCAGUGGGGACUCUAUGGUGUCCACCAGACCCAGGAGGAAGAAGAAGAGAAUAGAAGCACAACCCACAGCGGCAGAAUCAGACGGAAGUGAGGAAAACGCUGAUGACCAAUGGGAGGAGAAUGCUAAAGCUGGACAAACCUCAAAUGACAAAUAUGUUCACAACAUAAAGCCAAGGCCCAACAUAAAGAAAAACCAGACUACCACCACCAGGAAAGAGCACCACUGUCUGGACUGCGGUAAGGUUUUUAAGAAUUCAAGUAAUUUAAAACUACAUCAACAGACUCACACAGGAGAGAGACCUUAUUGUUGUGAAUUAUGCGGGAAAUGUUUCCCGACUGCUUGGAAGCUCAGAAUACACCAAGCAGUGGUCCACAGAAGAGAGAAGCCACUUGAGUGUCCAACAUGUGGGAAGUGCUUUGCAACAAAGAAUUAUUUGGACACUCACGCAAGCGUUCAUUCAACAGAGAAACCGUUCCGAUGCCUCGUGUGUCAAAAGUGUUUUAAAAGUAAAAAGGGCUUCAAGGAACACACAAUGAUGCACAAUUCAAAUUCAGAUUCAUAUGCGUGUGACAAAUGUCCAAAAACCUUUGUUAAGUUGAAAUACCUCAAGAAUCACCAGCUAACUCAUAGUGGAGGAGGAGCUCACCGUUGUGAAUUGUGUGGGAAAGGUUUCAAGACUCCUUCUCAGCUCAAACAACACCAAGCAUCAGUCCAUAGGGGAGAGAAGCCAUUCCAAUGUCCCACAUGUGGGAAAUGCUUCGCAACAAAGACAAAUUUGAAAAUUCACACAAGUGUUCAUUCAGGAGAGAGAGCAUUCCAGUGCCCUCAGUGUCAGAUGUGUUUCAAAACCAAGUAUACUCUUAACGCCCAUAAGAAGACACACACGGACUCCAAGCCAUAUGCUUGCGACAAAUGCCCAAUGACCUUUAUCCGGUCACAUUACCUCAGAAGGCAUGAAAUCUCGCACCUGACCAGCAAGCCAUUCGUGUGCAGCCACUGUGGGAAAGGCUUCAAAGGUGAACGUGGGCUGAAGGGACACGAACGCACCCACACCGAAGACCCAACUUAUACCUGUGAUGAAUGUGGCAAGGGUUUCUAUCAACAUGAAUCGUUUCAAGUCCAUGCGGCCUUGCACACCGGAGAGAAGCCGUUCACCUGUGAUUGCUGCAGUAAAAACUUUGCUCUGGCAUCCUACCUUAAAACCCACAUCGCAAAUCAUCACUCUGUCACCAAACCCCACGUCUGUGGGAAAUGUGGCAGGAAAUAUAAGGAUUUCACCCAUUUCAGAAUCCAUAUGUUUCAGGGUUGUCAAGAGGAGGCUGCAGUGUUGGUUUGAUGACUUAUUGUUAUAAGUUGUAAUAUGUUAUGUUUUCACUACAAACAUGCAUGUUUCCUUGCACAGUACCAAUAACAUUAGUUUUGAAUAGAUUGUUUUUCAUGUCUACAGACUUGGCCAGUAAUAAAAACAUACCAGGGGAUCUAUAACCCUCUCUUAAAUUGCACCUCUGGUUGGAUGCAGGUUACGGGCACAACCUGUAACUUUCAUUUUGACAAUGCUUUGUCAUUCAUUGUUAUUUUUGAAUUGUGAUUAAAGUUGUAAUGUUCUUGUUUCAC